rnacentral:rRNA from 1 species
UACGUAGGGGGCGAGCGUUGUCCGGAUUUAUUGGGCGUAAAGAGCUCGUAGGCGGUUCGGCAAGUCAGGUGUAAAAACUCCAGGCUCAACUUGGAGAGGCCAUCUGAUACUGCCGUGACUAGAGUCCGGUAGAGGAGCACGGAAUUCCCGGUGUAGCGGUGAAAUGCGCAGAUAUCAGGAGGAACACCAGCGGCGAAGGCGGUGCUCUGGGCCGGAACUGACGCUGAGGAGCGAAAGCGUGGGGAGCGAACAGG